CAUGCAAGUCGAACGAAGUAGCAAUACUUAGUGGCAGACGGGUGAGUAACAUGUGGGUAUCUACCCUUUGGCCUGGAAUAACACGAGGAAACUUGUGCUAAUACCGGAUAAGUCUUUACAGAGAAAGCUUUAUGCACCAUUGGAUGAGCCCGCACUUGAUUAGUUUGUUGGUAGGGUAAUGGCCUACCAAGACUAUGAUCAAUAGCUGAUUUGAGAGGAUGAUCAGCCACAUUGGGACUGAGACACGGCCCAAACUCCUACGGGAGGCAGCAGUGGGGAAUCUUGCACAAUGGAGGAAACUCUGAUGCAGCGAUGCCGCGUGAGUGAAGAAGGCCCUUGGGUUGUAAAGCUCUUUCGUCGGGGAAGAAAAUGACUGUACCCGAAUAAGAAGGUCCGGCUAACUUCGUGCCAGCAGCCGCGGUAAUACGAAGGGACCUAGCGUAGUUCGGAAUUACUGGGCUUAAAGAGUUCGUAGGUGGUUGAAAAAGUUGGUGGUGAAAUCCCAGAGCUUAACUCUGGAACUGCCAUCAAAACUUUUCAGCUAGAGUAUGAUAGAGGAAAGCAGAAUUUCUAGUGUAGAGGUGAAAUUCGUAGAUAUUAGAAAGAAUACCAAUUGCGAAGGCAGCUUUCUGGAUCAUUACUGACACUGAGGAACGAAAGCAUGGGUAGCGAAGAGGAUUAGAUACCCUCGUAGUCCAUGCCGUAAACGAU
rnacentral:rRNA from 1 species